AAGGAUUGGUAGGAGAGCGUUCUGUAGGCCGUUGAAGGAGAAGGGUAACCGACUCUGGAGGUAUCAGAAGUGAGAAUGCAGGAAUAAGUAGCGAGAAAGGGGGCGAGAAUCCCCCUCGCCGGAAGACCAAGGUUUUCAGGGUAAAGCUUGUCUUCCCUGAGUAAGCCGGGACCUAAGCCCAGGCUAUAAUGCGUAGGCGAAUGGAAAACAGAUUAAUAUUUCUGUGCCAGUCAUAUAUUGUGAUGGAGGGACGCAGAAGGGUAUGCGCGCGGACGAACGGAAGUGUCCGUAGAAGUAUGUAGGAUGACUUGAUAGGUAAAUCCAUUGAGUUAUAUCUGAGGUAUGAUAUACAGUCGUAAGAUGAAUGUGCAAAUCCCACGCUGCCAAGAAAAGCUUCUAACGUUAAUAUUUGACUGCCCGUACUGUAAACCGACACAGGUGGUCAGGAUGAGAAAUCUAAGGCGGACAGGCUAACUCUCGUUAAGGAACUCUGCAAAAUAACCUCGUAACUUCGGGAGAAGAGGAGCCCUUGGGUGUUAGUAUCCAUGCGUUACAAAGCACUCGAGGGUCGCAGUGAAGAGGCUCAAGCAACUGUUUAACAAAAACACAGGUCUAUGCUAAGCUGGAAGGCGAUGUAUAUGGGCUGACACCUGCCCAGUGCUGGAAGGUUAAGAGGAGGAGUGAGAGCUCCGAAUUGAAGCCCCAGUGAACGGCGGCCGUAACUAUAACGGUCCUAAGGUAGCGAAAUUCCUUGUCGGGUAAGUUCCGACCUGCACGAAUGGUGUAAUGAUUUGAGCGCUGUCUUGACGGGAGGCCUGGUGAAAUUGUAUUACCGGUGAAGAUACCGGUUACCUACAGUAGGACGGAAAGACCCCAUGGAGCUUUACUGUAGCUUGGUAUUGGGUUUUGGCAUUGCAUGUAUAGGAUAGUUGGGAGACUGUGAUGAUAUGGCGCUAGCUGUAUCGGAGUCAUCGGUGGAAUACCAACCAUUCAAUGCUGAAAUUCUAAUCUGUGGUUUGUAGCCACGGAGACAGUGCUAGGUGGGCAGUUUGACUGGGGCGGUCGCCUCCGAAAGAGUAACGGAGGCGUUCAAAGGUUCUCUCAGGUUGGAUGGAAAUCAACCAUAGAGUGCAAUGGCAUAAGAGAGCUUGACUGCAAGACUGACGGGUCGAGCAGAUGCGAAAGCAGGACAUAGUGAUCCGGCGAUUCCGAAUGGAAGGGUCGUCGCUCAACGGAUAAAAGCUACCCUGGGGAUAACAGGCUGAUCCUACCCGAGAGUCCAUAUCGACGGUAGGGUUUGGCACCUCGAUGUCGGCUCAUCGCAUCCUGGGGCUGGAGAAGGUCCCAAGGGUUGGGCUGUUCGCCCAUUAAAGCGGUACGUGAGCUGGGUUCAGAACGUCGUGAGACAGUUCGGUCCCUAUCCACUGUAGGCGUUAGAAUAUUGAGAAGACCUGUCCUUAGUACGAGAGGACCGGGAUGGACAAACCUCUGAUGUACCAGUUGUCACGCCAGUGGCACAGCUGGGUAGUCACGUUUGGAAUAGAUAACCGCUGAAAGCAUCUAAGCGGGAAACUAACUUCAAGAUAAGUAUUCUUUAAGAUACCUUCGAGCCUAGGAGGUUGAUAGGUUGGGGGUGUAAGUGCAGCAAUGCAUUUAGCUGACCAAUACUAAUUAUCGAAGUUUUAAUCUA
rnacentral:rRNA from 1 species